GAUGAACGCUGGCGGCGUGCCUAAUACAUGCAAGUCGAGCGAACAGACGAGGAGCUUGCUCCUCUGACGUUAGCGGCGGACGGGUGAGUAACACGUGGAUAACCUACCUAUAAGACUGGGAUAACUUCGGGAAACCGGAGCUAAUACCGGAUAAUAUAUUGAACCGCAUGGUUCAAUAGUGAAAGACGGUUUUGAUGUCACUUAUAGAUGUAUCCGCGCCGCAUUAGCUAGUUGGUAAGGUAACGGCUUACCAAGGCAACGAUGCGUAGCCGACCUGAGAGGGUGAUCGGCCACACUGGAACUGAGACACGGUCCAGACUCCUACGGGAGGCAGCAGUAGGGAAUCUUCCGCAAUGGGCGAAAGCCUGACGGAGCAACGCCGCGUGAGUGAUGAAGGUCUUCGGAUCGUAAAGCUCUGUUAGUAGGGAAGAACAAAUGUGUAAGUAACUAUGCACGUCUUGACGGUACCUAAUCAGAAAGCCACGGCUAACUACGUG
rnacentral:rRNA from 1 species